CGGACGGGUGAGUAAUGUCUGGGAAACUGCCUGAUGGAGGGGGAUAACUACUGGAAACGGUAGCUAAUACCGCAUAACGUCGCAAGACCAAAGUGGGGGACCUUCGGGCCUCAUGCCAUCAGAUGUGCCCAGAUGGGAUUAGCUAGUAGGUGGGGUAACGGCUCACCUAGGCGACGAUCCCUAGCUGGUCUGAGAGGAUGACCAGCCACACUGGAACUGAGACACGGUCCAGACUCCUACGGGAGGCAGCAGUGGGGAAUAUUGCACAAUGGGCGCAAGCCUGAUGCAGCCAUGCCGCGUGUGUGAAGAAGGCCUUCGGGUUGUAAAGCACUUUCAGCGGGGAGGAAGGCGAUAAGGUUAAUAACCUUGUCGAUUGACGUUACCCGCAGAAGAAGCACCGGCUAACUCCGUGCCAGCAGCCGCGGUAAUACGGAGGGUGCAAGCGUU
rnacentral:rRNA from 1 species